CCAAUUAUCUGCUUAACUCCAAGUCAGUGAAUUCCCCAGUGCUUCCGAGACAAACAAUAGAUAGUAUAAAGACUUUUGGCAGUUGACAGUUCCAUUUGGCUAGGGUUUGUAGCAAAUCCUUCUUAAAACUAAAGCUAUAUUUUUACAAAAUAAAAGCAACUAGCUGAGUUAAUUUCAAGCAGUCACUCAAGAUGUUUGCUUGAUGCAUUAGAAAACCAACUUUUGAAGGAUGUUUGAAUUCUCAUCCCUUUGGACACUACAUGGACACAUGCUCAGAAGAAGAAAGUAGGACUUGCAGUUUCUGCCCUUGAAUGUAAGAAGUCUGGAAGUUGCCGCUGUGCCCUAACAGAGCUGAACACACUAAAAAUCAACCCUUCUUGGAAGUGAAGACACAGAGCAAUCCCCUCUCCUCACAAAUUAGACAGAUGGAGAAGUUUGAUAUGGAGAAUCAGAACUUACCUGGGACAGCAACCAUGAGCAAAACCAAGUUUACAGAUGAUUUUCAUGUAAACUUUCCAACUUCAGUUGAUCAUAGAGCAGAUUAAUCCAGUAUCUCAACAAUACACUUUAAUUUGCUUUUUUGAUUUUGGAGCAGAUAGGCACAUAUUAGGAAGUGUCAAACUCCAUGAGUCUAGCUGAAUAUAGAUGCUCCAUGUGGUGAUUUUCAAUGUACAGGAAGGAAAAUAAAAGUUGAUCAGACAGACCAUCAAAGGAGGUAUUCAGCAAUUUCAGUCUUCAUCUCCUAUCUUGCCUCAUUCAUUUUUUUUCAUUUUUAUCUACUAAUUUUAUCCUCUAUGCUCCUUGAACUUUCACGUGUGAAAUAUGAUGUGAAAACUUCCAUUGGAUCCUACCACAUUAUUAUGCCCAACCAAUUUCACUUGAAGAAAAAUAUACAAAAUCUUUAGCUUGGAUUCUCACUGGUACGAUUUGUCCAAAACCUUCAUAAUGUCAAGUUGAGGUACUAUAUGUUUUCAUCAUUCUCAAGCCACAGUGACUUUUUUGUUGUCAUUUUUAAAGUGCUAAACACUUUCCUACCUAAAGGCUUUCUUGUUUAUUAUUCACUUUGCAUGAAUAAUCUUUUAUCUUUUCUUCUCUAAGCUUCAAUGUAAAUGUCAUUUCCUCAAAAAGGUCUUCCCUAAACUUCUAGUUAGUUAUUUUGUUAAAAUUGAGCAUUUGCUAAGGUUGCAAUUAAUUUUUGUCUUAUAUUUAAUAUUUGUCAUUUUCCUGCAAUAAAUACUUUUUGUUUUGCUUGCUCAAUAUUUUUCCAACUUCCUGUGAACAAAAUUACCAUUCUGAAAGCUCCUCCUCUUGUUCCCCCUUAUGGGAUUUCUCCCAGAGAGUUGGAUUCUUCUUAUAUCAUUGUAAUCAUACCCAACUGCCAUUUUCAAGUAGAAUAAUGGGCCCUAACAUCACAGUUCAUUGGAAAAGGUGCCAAUCAAAGUUUUUCCAUGAGAAUUUUCAAAGUGUUAAUGUAAACAGUCUUUCUUGAACAGAAAACUCUGAUGCUGUUAGUGGCCUUUCCCAAAAUUUAGAGAAAUACUAGAUGUCUACGAAGGGAGGGAGUGAGGCUGACAUGCAGGAGGGGUAAGAAGUGAAAAGUAGAUUUUAAGCAGCACACUGUGCAUGUGUGAGUGCUUCUUCUACUUAUUCCCAAGGCCAGGCUGAAGCACCCAUCAUAUUGCAGGCAAGCUAUCUUUGAGAUUCCCCAGUCUCUUCUUACGUUGAGUGGGAUUAGUGUUACUGAUAAUCAAAAGUGUUCAUUAUUAGUAUGUCCUGGACAAUGCAAAAGUGGCAAAGUCUCCAUUAGUCUAUUUGACCAGGAUGCCCAAAUUUAUUAUUUUUUUCUGAACAGACAUCUUUGAGUAAUUCUGAGGAGGCUCUAUCUGUUAAGGGUGUAGCAUACUAUAAAGGAUCCACCUACUAAUAACUCAGUUUCUUUAAUGUCUUGUUCCUCUCUAUCCUUUGAAUAUUUGAGUUAAAUUUUUUGUUUAGUUUUAUUUUGAAAUCUGCAAAAUGUUCAGAAUAUGCAACUUUACUUAGAUAUGUUAAUUAAAGACAACUGCAGAUUAUUUUCCAUUCUUUCAUCUUCCCCAAAAGUAAAUUUUUGUUUGAAAAUAUAUUUAAAAUUUUUCUUUUUUAUAUAUUUCUUAUUGAUUUGCAACAUGUAAAAUUUCCUAAGUUCUGUCAUUUUAGAUAUGGGUUAAAUAGGAAGGAAUCCAGCUAUUUUGGCGACUCAUCCUGAGAUUAUCCUGCUAAUGAAAGCUCCAGGGUUCCAACUGAGUGAGGUAAAAAUAUAAGUUCCUUCUGUCAAAAUUCCCACCUUAAGAACAUACCAUUCCCACUUCUCCCUACGCUCAAAACAUUUUAGGGAGUAAAGUCAAUUUGGAACCACAUUUCCCACUGUUUCACCAGGACUGUUUACACACCAGAUGUAGGCAAUUCAUCAAUGCCAAGAGAAACUAAAUAGAAUCUGCUCUCAAGACUAUAGACACCAUCAUAACACAAUAUUAAAAUGCUUGUUUAAAAAACAAGAUAAAAUCUUAUAUUAGCUCUCUAAAAAGAUGUUAAUCAUUAAUAUUAAAAUAUUUAAGUAAUCUAUUUGAAAUAGAUUAGGUAUGAACCAUACAGGAAAAAUCAUUGGCUAAUAAGAUGGGAGAAAUAUUUCUAAACUGCCAAUAAUAACAUGUGACUAAUUUUUUUGUAGAUUACAGAACAAUUCCUUAGUCAUUCACACUUUUAAUGUUUGAUGUGUUCAAUGGUUUAGAAGAGGCAACGGUUUAGAAAUGAGGGAAAUGAAAUUUAGACAGGGGAAGUGACAGAAACAGUGUUACCAGAUAAAAUACAGGGCACCUAGUUGUAUUUAAUUUCAGAUAAAUGACAUUUGUUUUUAGUUUAAUUGUGUCUCAAGUAUUGUGUGUUUAUCUGAAAUACAAACUUAGCUGGAUGCCCUUCAUUUUUGUUUUUCUGAAUCUGGUAAUUCUAGAUCAGUAGUAACUGGAAAAGCAGGUGAUACUUAACAGUCAGCAGAGAAGGGGAUAGCUGACAACUGAAAAGAUCACAGCAUAUGACCUGAUGAAAUUAUUGUCAUUGGCCGGUUACUAUAUAAAAUGUAACUUUUUUCACAUCCAAAAUCGCCAAGUGAGAACAUCAGGUAAAUGUACCACUGGGCAAGCACAUAUUCUUUUGAAUCUCUGAAAUAUGUGGGGUAUAUUGACCAAGGUGGAGAUUGCCAUCUAUUGGGAAUAUUUCUCUGGUGGGUAACUAUCCCGACCACCAAUCACUGAGGGUUAAACUCCUCCUCAAGUGCAAUGUGUACUUUGUGACAAUUAUGAAGAAUUUGCUAACAUUAAAAGACAAUAUAAUACAAAGGAGCUUGAACUCAGCUAGAAAACAGAUUCUAAGAAGGACAUUUUGUGGACAAGAGAGAAUCAAGGCCGUCUAUUGUCUUGAGCUCUUUAACUCAGCAAUCAGUGUGGAAAUCGAUGAGGUUAUGGAAAAAAAGACUUUGGUGGGCUUCUUCAUUCAAUUUUCAGAGUGGGUACUUAGAGAUUCUUUAAUGGCUUAAACACUUUUUUUUACCACUUACAGUUUUGAGACUUGGAGAUUAUAGAGAGGUACAAAGAUUAAGAGGCAAGAGAUCUAUUUAGCUUUUUAUCUUCUUUGAAAAAAGAAUAGUUUUUAUCGACAUAAGUUUUAUAAAAAAUUAAGUUCUUGGUAUCAGAGUAAUCAUAAAUUCUAGAAAUAUAUGUAUAAUAUUUCCUUCCAUAUGUAGCAAAAAUUCUUGAACUUAUUUUAUAACUGGUACCAAGCCAGACAAAAUUUAGCAGUGGUAGUUCAUCUUGUUUCUUGACUAUAAUUGUAAGGUGAAUAGUUGUACCUCAGUUUAUUAACUUAAUUCUUUCCAAUUCUGGUCACAAACUGAAUUGAAUGAAAAUUGAACCAAAUUCAACAGUUAGGUUCAAUGUUGACCUUCUGAGGAAAAUUGAUCUGAUUGUCAUCCAAUUCAGUUUGUGAUCUGAAUCGUGGGAAAAAAAUGAACUUCAUGAAACUGAAUUGAAUGAGGUUAUCAGCAAGUUUCCUCUUUUCAUUGGGAAUAACCACCAAGCACUGAAGUCCUUGGGGGAUUCCAGGUCACUGAAAUUCCUAAGAAAUGGAAUCUUCUCCUACAGGUGAUAGAUUUGAAAAGAUGAUGCUACCUCUAAGGAAGGGUUCAGUUGAAAGAUAUAUAAUCAACUAGCAGUGCUUUAUUAUGCUUUGGCUACAUUUACCAUUUCAGUGAUUUGGUUGUGAAUUGAAUUUCUGGUGUGUGGCUACAUGUUAUGUGAAAUGAUGACAGAGACCUCUUUUAUGGAGUGAAUGGUACCACUGAGGAUUCAGUGAGACUUAAUCUGUAAAUAUUUAACCUAAGUGAGAGACAUCAUACUUGACAUUUGACCACAGUGGCAAGAAUGAAAAGUAUUGAGAUUCAGUGUGAUAUGCUAUAGAAACGAUAGGAAAGUUUUCUAUGAAAACUUAACUUAAUAAGACAGUGACGCAUCUAUCUGUAUGGUGAUGGAAGAGAAGGUCAAUUUUCAGGUAGAAAAUGACAUGAAUUUAAUUAAAGGGAAACAUAGACAUCACUAUUAUGAGAGUUUCUUGGUGAAAGCUCUACUUAAGUUAGAACUUCAUAGAUUCUGCCAUGUGAGUGCUUUUCAAAUCUUAUUAAAAUAGAGAAAUUAAUCAGUGGUGGCAGUUUUUGCUACUGAGUUGGUAUUUCUUUCCCCCAAAACAUCUGCAGUGCUCUGUGGAAGAAUGAAUGCUAUAGAAGCAUCUCCUGCUUCAAACUCUUUCCAUUAGAAAUUGAGCUUACCUGCCAUUUCAAAGGUUAGGUUCCUAAGUUGUUUGAGUGGACAGUUGUUGCUUUGAUGACAAAAUAAAACAGAAAAAUGUCAGACAGAAUUGCCACAGGUAAAAGUAUAACAGAAGGAGAAGUUUAUGCAUAAUUCUUUUUUAUCGUAAACUCUCUACUCUUUGUCCCAAAGGAGUUAUCAAACAAGACCAAACCUACUGUCUAUUUGGUGAGAUGGCGCCAUGGCUUAGUAUUUUGCUCCACGUGGCCCUUUGCUCAUAAGCAGAAGAAACCAGUGGCAGAUCCACUCAGAGAAGUGAGGGGUCUUCAGAUAGGAAUAAAUGCAGGGUGGAAAAUAAGUAAAUAUAGUAUGUGUAUUGCAUGUGAUACAGUAAAAGUUGUAAAAAUACUUUUCACUGAUUUCUGGUACUUGGUUUAAUUCAAAUGUUUAAUUUAUUUUCAUUACAUCAACAAAUUCUUUCCAGUCGUGACCAGUGAACAGUUUUCUCUUUGCCAUAAUUAACAGUAAUUAUGGGAAACAAAGCACUAUCUCCUGAUUAAUUGAUAGGACAGCUGACUUGACACCAUGGAUCUCAGUGUGCAGGCAGUAAUGCAGGGAAAAGUAAACUCUGUAGAAAGAUUUGGAGGCCUCUUACCUCUUUAUGAAACAUAUAAGAUGAGCAAAGAGAAAAGAAAUGCAAUUAAACUCUGGGAUCAAUCAAAUGUAUAGGGACUGCUCGGCCUUUAAUUCCUUUGAACAUGUUGCUUAAAGCAUGAAGGUCACCAGGAACAAGACAUGUCAUCAUCUAGGAUGAAAAAUUCUUUGGAAGCAAAAAACUCUCAUAUUAAGGAGAAACUUAUGAGAGAUAUUUAUAACUUAAGGAGAUGAUAGAUCCUUUGGGCAAACUCACUGUUAUAGUUAUCAAUCUCCCAGGCAGGGAAAAGGAUUAUCCAUAUAGAUUUGCACUUUAUAUCCUCUGGUAUUGAUGUCUUUAGGAACAGCUUAAAGAACUGAACAGUUUACAUGUCAAUAAGUAUCUCCAUAUUUCAAUAAAUUUUUUAAUGUGGUUUACAUAAGCAUGAAAGUAUUUAUUGCCAGGAAAACGUUAGGUGAACUCAUGGAUGCUAGCUAUUGUGACAAAUUUGUAAAAUAUGUUCACUGGAAGUCUACAUCUCUGAAUGACUAAGAAGACUCAUAAGAGAAACUUUCUUUUAAGAGAAGAACCAAGCAGAAAAGCUUGGCUCAGAAAUAGCAUGCUAGUCAUUAGAGGACAUAUAUGCCUAUUGGAUUUGAACUGAGGUUCCCAGUCAAGCCUAAGGUAGAAAGAGAGCACUGAGAAAACAUCUGAAAGAGUUAUUUUGUGGCCUUAUAUCAGUCAACCUCCAAUAAAACAUCACAGCAAAAGAGAUAGUGAAAUUUUCUUGACCUUAGCCACAGAACAUCUACCAUAUUUACCUUAUUUAAGAUGUUAGCGCAUCCCUCUUCUCUACUUAAUUUCUAUCUGUAAAAUGACAAUGAUUGUGCCAGUAUGCAGUGCUAUAAAGGGCAGUGGGUCAUGCAAUGCCACUUGGUAUAUAAUAGAAGGACUAGAAUACAUAUUACAGAUUACCUACCAAUAAACACAGCAGGAAGUUAAGAAAAGAAGGAGAGGAAGGAAAAUAGUGACUGGAAUGAACAACUUUUAUUUUCCUCUCUUCCUUUCUUACUUUUUAAAUUAUUAAUAUUAUUUAUAACAAUUAAGCAAUAGACACCAAUUCUAUUUACUUGCAGUUCAAUGCUUUUGAGAUACUGUGUGUUAGCUGCUUUAGCACCUCUCUCACUCUGUUACAUUGGUGAAUGGCAGAAACAGUUCUGUUGGUGAAAUCAGCUAUCUGACAACCAGAGCAUAUGAAUCCAAGGAGAUUAUUCAUCUUCGUGUUAGAUAAGAUGCUCAAAACCAUAUGGUCCAUGGAUUUCAGAGGAUGAUCAGUUGCCAAAUGAUGAUAUAACAGAAUCCUACCACUGGAAGGAGGUCAUUUAUACCUUGAGCGGAUUUGUAGAUGAAGUACUACUGAGACCAUAGAAAAGGAAGACAGCUUAACAAAAUCGGGAAGAGCACAAGGACUUCAAGCAAAGACUGGUACAAGAAUUAUUCUUUGACUAGAGAGGCAGCUACUUAAAUGUCUUAAAAGCAUGGAAAACACUCACUUAAUUUUGUCCUAUUCAUCCUCAAUACUAAAAGAAUAAAACAGUUGUUAAUUUUGUGGGUCAGAAGAUUCUAGAACAUGAAAAGGAUCACAUUUUUAUCUGGGUAAAAAAUAUUUUACCCUCUUUUUUCUGUAUUACAGUUAUUAUAGAUGGAGAAUAUUUCUCUCGCGCGCUCCUUCUCAUACGCACAUGCACACACACAUAUGCAUGCUCAAGAGUAAUGUCAGAGAAGACCAUAUGCAAUAUCAAAUAACACUGUUUAUUGCUUUAAGCCAGUAGUUUCCAGAGAUUUUAUGAUUCAUCCUGGUUUAAUUUUUCUAUAUGCUGCAAGUAUGGAUUAAAUUUCAAUAUUUACUUUUUCCAGUAUCAUUUGUUGAAAUGACUGUCUAUCUCCAUUAAAUUUAUUUAUGUAUAUUUUUUAAAAUCAGUUGUAUAUACAUGCAUAGGUCAAUGUCUAAUGUUUCUAUUUUGUUCCAUUGAUCUAUUUGUCUAUCUUAAUACUAUUACCACAAUAUCUUAAUUUCUUGAAAUUAGGUGUAGUUAUAUCUCCAACAUUGUUCUUCUAUUUCAACAUUGUUUUGGAUCCCCUAAAUCCUUGACAUUUCCAUAUGAAUUUUGGAAUCAGGUUAUCAUAAUUUGGACAAAAAAAUGCUAAAAAUUUCAGUGGAAAUUUGCAGAAUCUAUAGGUAAAUUUGAAAUGGUUAAUUUUUAACAAUAUUGAAAUUUCUGACUCAUGAAGGUCAUUUCAUUUAUUUAGAUUUUUAAUUUACCCAAGC
ensembl:lncRNA